AUCUUUUAGCCAACAUGCAUAUUUAGAACUCCUGGAAGACUUUGCUUCAUGAUGACAAGACUCAACUAUUUCAGGUGGUUCUUGGAAUUCAUCAAGUAACGGAAAGUAAAAGAUAAAAAGAAACAGGAACACAGAUGAAGAGGACCUCCUUCAGAUUUGUGUUGGUGAACUACACGUGAUAAACAUUAACAUGCUGUUCAUUCUGAAAUUUCCAAGAUUUUCUUCCAUCAAGCAAGUAUUAUCUCUAAAACAGACAAUAUUAGAACAAACUGGACUGAAAUAUCUUCAUCCAUGACAUUCAUUACCUCCUACAAGCCUUGUGUGCAAAGUGAACUGAAUGUCAGAUGAUGUCAUUUUCAGUUCUUGGUUAUGAUGUACGGCAGCUACUCUGAAGUUGAAGGGCGAGGACCUCAACUCUACAGUUCCUGCACCAGCUAAAUAACCAGAACAGGGUGAAACGCAAGAAAGAAAAAUAAUCUCAAGGGUUUCUAUGCUUAAGGUGUUAAGAAGCAUUUACACUUGUGCUAAUGGCUUAGAUGUAUAAUUACUUUGUACUUUUUAAAUUCUACCUUAAGUUUGCAUAAAGUGGGCUAUUACACAGCAAAAAAUUUCAGUGACAGAAGACUCUUCAGUGACAAAUGAAAACAGAAAUAUUGCCUACAGCUUAUUUAUUGCUAGCUGCAAGAAAGCUAAUGGAGGGAAAGGAAAAACAAAUUUAUUUCUGAAUGAAAGUAUAUAGCCACUGUCUAGGCUUCUGAGAUUUCCUCUGAGCUUCUCAAAGAAAAGAAAGUGUAACUUAACUAAAGCAUUCAAACUUUACUGCAUAUAUAUUCAGUAAUUAAUUCACUGUUAUUAUCCCGCCUUGUAUCAGAAAUGAAGCGAAAGAGGAUAAUCUUUAGUCCUGAAAGCCUUGGCAGCUUAUUGCUUGUUAAAAUAAGAAAAUGAGCCAGAUAUUUGACUUAUUUUUUCUUUUAACCACCCAGAUACCAGUAUAUGUUAGUAUCAUUUCUUCUUCUUGAGGUGCUAAACUGACAAUAAAGCUCUUGCGCAAAACUGAAUGCUUGAAGUUAUCUGCCUUUCAGUAUUACACUUAGAGUCAAACUCUGGCAUAGAACUGAGCAUGAUUGCAAAUCUCAGUUAAACAUGCAUUCUUGUAAAAUCUAGAAUCAUGAGUAGCCUAAUUAUUCCAAAUGAUAACAAAGAACCCUGAAAAAUGGCAGUUUCUAUUCAUAAUCCUUCACUUUUAAUUGUAUGUUUCACCUUCAUCAUGUACCAGAAAACUUUCCAGCAGUAAUCAAAAUGACUGUUAAUCAAAACUGCAACAUAAAAAAAAAAAAAGAAUUGACACAUAUCUGUAGCAAUUACAGCAAUAAACUGUUUGAU
rnacentral:lncRNA from 7 species